UACGAAGGGGGCUAGCGUUGCUCGGAAUCACUGGGCGUAAAGGGUGCGUAGGCGGGUCUUUAAGUCGAGGGGUGAAAUCCUGGAGCUCAACUCCAGAACUGCCUUUGAUACUGAAGAUCUUGAGUCCGGGAGAGGUGAGUGGAACUGCGAGUGUAGAGGUGAAAUUCGUAGAUAUUCGCAAGAACACCAGUGGCGAAGGCGGCUCACUGGCCCGGUACUGACGCUGAGGCACGAAAGCGUGGGGAGCAACAGG
rnacentral:rRNA from 1 species